ACCUGGCUGGCUCAGUCAGUGGAGCGUGAGACUCUUGAUCUCAAGGUUGUGGGUUCAAGCCCCAUGUUGGGUG